rnacentral:lncRNA from 10 species
GAGGGGUGCGUGGAACUUUUGGUGGCAAACAAGCUCCUGUGACUGUCUUUCAGGAGAAUGAAGAGGGAAAAGAACUGAAGAACAGUUUGUUGACUGAGGAGCUGAAGUAUUAAGUACAGAGACACAUAUAUAUUUAAAGACCCUGUGGAAAAAAGUUAAUGAACAAAAAAGAAUUGGAAGAAGGUGAGAGAUUACCCGAAACAUCCAAAGGAUAAAAUGACUACUGGGCAUUUGGCUAAGUAGGUAAAAUUAAGUGGAAACAGGAGGAACUGUACAGAGCAUAAAACUUGUAUGAUUAAAAAGUUUAGGGCCGGGCACGAUGGCUCAAAUCUAUAAUCCCAGUCCUUUGAAUAUUAAUCUGACUGGGCCAGUGCACCUAAAUAAUUAAUAAAUAUCCUCCUGAACCCCAUCAAUCUCUCUGAUUCCUUAAAAAUCCCACUACAAGUAACUAUUGUGUUAGGCACACAAGUCCUAAACAACUCUUGAACACAAAACUUUUAAACCAGGUAAAUUUUAUCCUUUAUAAAAUUGGAAUAAUUUAUCAGAGGGUGGAGGGUGAGAGGAGGAAGAGGAUCAGGAAAAAUAACUAAUGGGUACUAGGCUUAAUACCUGGGUGAUGACAUAAUCUGUACAACAAACCCCUGUGACACAAUUUACCUAUAUAACAAACCUACACAUGUACCCCUGAACUUAAAAGUUAAAUUUUAAAAAAGUAAGUUUUUUUGUUUUGUUCUGUUUUGUUUUGUUUUGUUUUGUUUUUUUGAGAUGGAGUCUCGCUCUGUCACCCAGGCUGGAGUGCAGUGGCGCAAUCUCGGCUCAC